AGCAGCCGCGGUAAUUCCAGCUCCAAUAGCGUAUAUUAAAGUUGUUGCAGUUAAAAAGCUCGUAGUUGAAUUUCGGGGUCAGUAGGUUGGUCGUGCCACCGGUACGUACUGGUUUCACUGAUUCCUCCUUCCUGAAGAACCGUAAUGCCAUUAAUUUGGUGUUGCGGGGAAACAGGACUGUUACUUUGAAAAAAUUAGAGUGUUUAAAGCAGGCUAACGCUUGAAUACAUUAGCAUGGAAUAAUGAAAUAGGACGAUCGAUCCUAUUUUGUUGGUUUCUAGGAUUGACGUAAUGAUUAAUAGGGAUAGUUGGGGGCAUUAGUAUUCAAUUGUCAGAGGUGAAAUUCUUGGAUUUAUUGAAGACUAACUACUGCGAAAGCAUUUGCCAAGGAUGUUUUCAUUAAUCAAGAACGAAAGUUAGGGGAUCGAAGACGAUCAGAUACCGUCGUAGUCUUAACCAUAAACUAUGCCGACUAGGGAUCGGAUGAUGUUAAUUUUACAAUGACUCAUUCGGCGCCUUA
rnacentral:rRNA from 1 species